rnacentral:lncRNA from 1 species
AUUGUCUAAGUUGGUUAAUCUUCUUGGCAAAGAGUAUUCUUACUCAAAUAUAAAAAGCUCCAAAUUGGAACUUCCUAUUCUUCAGCUUUGACGACUUCUCCAUCCAAGAGUAUAUCUAUUUUAGGGUUACCUACUUUAACGGAACCCCUUUUCAAUAUUCAUAUAAAUAAGCCAAGGAAUCUAUGCUCAAUUCACCAUCUCUCAACAAACAAAAAAGUAAAGAAUAAAAAACAAGAAGGAAAAUAAAUGGCACGCUUGGCAUGUUGCUUGGUCUUGAUCUCUUUGUGCUUAUGCCUUUUCGUUGAGCCUGCUGUUGCAGCCAAGAAGGGACUUAACGCUAUUGCCCCAUCACAGUACAAUGUAGUUCCCCUAGCAAGUGCACCAUUUCCUAUUACUGUUCCAUCAGAAUAUGUUAUGGCCAAGCAGAUAUGCCAGGACUCGAAGCAACCCGAAAUGUGCCAAAAAGUUGUUGAUGGUGAUAAGAUUGAUCCAGUCACUGAGGCCAAGCUUACCAUUGAGAUAACCUCAUCCAUGGCUUUAAGGGCAAGUGCAUACAUGUCAAAGAUAUCAACCCGUAAGGAUAUUGCACGAGGUGCUUUGAAUGGUUGCAUGUUGAGUUAUCAGAAAGCUAUUAAUGCUUUGAACCUUUCUUACACCAACUUUCAAACCAACCCCAAGAAUGCUAUUGAGAGUCUUAGAACAGCUGAUUAUCAUGUUGGAUUCUGCACUGCUUCUUUGGGUCAGAAAAAUGAGAUUCCUCCUGUUUUGAAGGCCAAUAAAGCAAUGCAGGGUAUGAUCCAAGCAAUAAGAUCUGUUGCUAAGAAACAAAUAAACU